GACGAACGCUGGCGGCGUGCUUAACACAUGCAAGUCGAACGGAAAGGCCUCUUUCGGGGGGUACUCGAGUGGCGAACGGGUGAGUAACACGUGAGUAACCUGCCCUUGACUUUGGGAUAACUUCAGGAAACUGGGGCUAAUACCGGAUAGGAGCUCCUGCUGCAUGGUGGGGGUUGGAAAGUUUCGGCGGUUGGGGAUGGAUUCGCGGCUUAUCAGCUUGUUGGUGGGGUAGUGGCUUACCAAGGCUUUGACGGGUAGCCGGCCUGAGAGGGUGACCGGCCACAUUGGGACUGAGAUACGGCCCAGACUCCUACGGGGGGGAGGAGGGGGGAAUUUUGAAAAAUGGGGGGAAGCCUGAUGCAGCAACGCCGUGUGGGGGAUGACGGCCUUCGGGUUGUAAACCCUUUUCGCUAAUGAAGAAGUUUUGUGGGGCGGGAGUGGGGAAAGAAACACCGGCCAACUACGU
rnacentral:rRNA from 1 species